rnacentral:rRNA from 1 species
GACGAACGCUGGCGGCGUGCUUAACACAUGCAAGUCGAACGGAAAGGCCCUGCUUUUGUGGGGUGCUCGAGUGGCGAACGGGUGUGUAACACGUGAGUAACCUGCCCUUGACUUUGGGAUAACUUCAGGAAACUGGGGCUAAUACCGGAUAUGAGCUCCUGCUGCAUGGUGGGGGUUGGAAAGUUUCGGCGGUUGGGGAUGGACUCGCGGCUUAUCAGCUUGUUGGUGGGGUAGUGGCUUACCAAGGCUUUGACGGGUAGCCGGCCUGAGAGGGUGACCGGCCACAUUGGGACUGGGAUACGGCCCAGAGUCCUACGGGAGGCAGCAGUGGGGAAUAGUGCACAAUGGGCGGAAGCCUGAUGCAGCAACGCCGCGUGCGGGAUGACGGCCUUCGGGUUGUAAACCGCUUUCGCCUGUGACGAAGCGUGAGUGACGGUAAUGGGUAAAGAAGCACCGGCUAACUACGUG